rnacentral:rRNA from 1 species
UACAGAGGUCUCAAGCGUUGUUCGGAUUCAUUGGGCGUAAAGGGUGCGUAGGCGGCGUCGUAAGUCGGGUGUGAAAUCUCGGGGCUCAACUCCGAAGUUGCAUUCGAUACUGCGGUGCUUGAGGACUGGAGAGGAGACUGGAAUUCACGGUGUAGCAGUGAAAUGCGUAGAUAUCGUGAGGAAGACCGGUGGCGAAGGCGGGUCUCUGGACAGUUCCUGACGCUGAGGCACGAAGGCCAGGGGAGCAAACGGG